rnacentral:rRNA from 1 species
UUCGUAGGGUGCAAGCGUUAAUCGGAAUUACUGGGCGUAAAGCGUGCGCAGGCGGUGCUGUAAGACAGGCGUGAAAUCCCCGGGCUUAACCUGGGAAUGGCGCUUGUGUCUGCAGUGCUGGAGUGCGGCAGAGGGGGAUUGAAUUCCGGGUGUAGCAGUGAAAUGCGUAGAUAUGCGGAGGAACACCGAUGGCGAAGGCAAUCCCCUGGGCCUGUACUGACGCUCAUGCACGAAAGCGUGGGGAGCAAACAUG